AAAUGGUCCUGUGGUGAAUUCUCAUGUUGAAUUGCAAAUUCAAAGGAGCAGUCUCAACCCUGCCAGGACUU
rnacentral:tRNA from 1 species